ACUCUGACGGGUGUUCACAUUGACAUUACACAUCCAACGGAGCAUACUGGCUUCAUUCCUUGCGAGCUUACGUAUGUCCUCAGCAGUUACAGCCCAUGUUUCACUGCCAUGUAGCAUGGUUGUUCGUACGCAUGCGUCAUACAGUCUGCCUUUUACUCUGAGUGAGAGUCCCUUUGUCACCAGCAGGGGUAAGAGCUCUCUAAACUUUGCCCAGGCUAUUCUUAUUCUAGCAGCUACACUUUCAGCGCACCCACCCCCACUACUAACUUGGUCGCCCAGAUAGCGGAAGCUAUCGACUACCUCUAGUUUUUCACCCUGGAAUGAGAUAGAAGUUGUUUCCUGUUUGUUUGCAGUCUUUACACACACAAAUUCAGGUAGUGAAAAUCGUGCGGGUGUUAAUCUGAAAAUUUACCCAGAUUCAUUCAUUCAUCAUAAACCCUGAACUGGUGGAUUUUUAGAACACGUGAUGGAUGUAAACAUUUCACAUCCUGAAUAUCAUCAAACAUCGCAAAACACUGAAUGCAGCAGGUUAAUGUUAUUGGUAUGUGUUCUAUAGAAUCGCUCGACCGUCGGGGAAAAUACUUGCGGUAAAUAAUGAUGUUCCAAGCAGAAGCAAUGUACUAUCAUUGAGUUAUUGACGAAAAAGGGCUGCAGGCUGGCUGUCUGACAGCCACAGAAGACUACAGGUUAUUUACAUAGACAACACUAUUGUAUAAAUACACAUUCACACAUAUAUAUAAUUUCUCGCUCUAUUACUCAAAGACAGUAUUUUUCUUCACAUACAUUCUUCAAAUGGAAUUAUUUACACAGAAAUGCAUAAAUUUAUUUACUUGUCAUCUGAUGCUAGUGUAUAUUUAUGUAAAAAUAACUACUGAUAGCCAGUGCCACCUAGUGUUACUCCUGACAGCUGGCUGUGAUGAGAGUGAACACUGGUUUCACUACUUGAACACCACUCUAACAUGUGACUUGCAAUGAGUUAACAUAAUGUCUGUUUGUAUCAUACAAAACCUCUUCAGUUUUAGAGGGAUGAUGGCUGGGAGGAUAAUAUCAUUCUAAUAUUAUUCUGAUAUUAUCCAUUCAAUUCCAUUAAAAGAGUUUCAUUAUAUUGUUUCAUUAUGUUUCUACUCAGAAUGUCUUAUUCUACAUUGGCCCAGUUCAAAGUAUUUAUCAGGAAUAGGGACCAACUUGAUUUGGCAGGUAUUUUAUCACAGUCCAGUAAUUAAUUCUCCUAGCUGUUGGUAUGCAUGUGUACCAUUCUGAGGUAUGAUCUUCUUCAAACUACAUUCACCAACCACCAGUUCAAAUAGCUGGUGGACAGCUUUAGGGUUACUGUUGCCUUAAACAUCUGAAUUUUGGUGCCCUUAUGUGUAAAAUUUUUAAUAUUUCUGACAAGGAGUAAAUAUAGAAAUAAAGUGUUUAUUAUAAUUUAUUUAAUGCAAGAAUAAAAUGUUCUAUUUAUA